AUUGAACGCUGGCGGCAUGCCUUACACAUGCAAGUCGAACGGCAGCGGACCUUCGGGUGCCGGCGAGUGGCGAACGGGUGAGUAAUAUAUCGGAACGUACCUUUCAGUGGGGGAUAACGUAGCGAAAGUUACGCUAAUACCGCAUAUUCUGUGAGCAGGAAAGCAGGGGAUCGCAAGACCUUGCGCUGAUUGAGCGGCUGAUAUCAGAUUAGCUAGUUGGUGAGGUAAAGGCUCACCAAGGCGACGAUCUGUAGCGGGUCUGAGAGGAUGAUCCGCCACACUGGAACUGAGACACGGUCCAGACUCCUACGGGAGGCAGCAGUGGGGAAUUUUGGACAAUGGGCGCAAGCCUGAUCCAGCCAUGCCGCGUGAGUGAAGAAGGCCUCGGU
rnacentral:rRNA from 1 species